AUGGAUAUCUUGUCUCUCAUCUCCGGAUAUGGAUAUGUAUCUGUCUUUGUGUAUGGAGAAGAAGACGUAGCUCAUGUGUUGUAUUCCUAUUUGGUAGAUAUGUUCUGCUUCCAAGGAUUGUUCUUCUGCUCACAGGUUGCGUUCCUAUUGCUUCACAAUGUUUGUAUUUACCAUAUUACUCCUCAACACCAUGAGUUGGGAGCAACUCCAAUUCCAUCAGAUGUACAUGAGCUAUAUGUUGAUAAGCUCGCCUAUCAGAUGGCGGAUGUUCUUGAUUUCCUCAGUUUAGGGUCUGUGAUGUGCAUGGGUGUCACACCGCCGGUGCCUAUAUGCUUAUCUUCUUUGGAGUAUGUGUUUGCACGAUUAGACAAAGUAGAGGGAAAGGGUUCUUGGUCUGGUGUUGGUUUCACCUCUAUGCAAAGCCCCAUCUUGGAGUGA
rnacentral:rRNA from 1 species